rnacentral:rRNA from 1 species
AACGAACGCUGGCGGCAGGCUUAACACAUGCAAGUCGAGCGCCCCGCAAGGGGAGCGGCCGACGGGCGAGUAACGCGUGGGAAUCUACCCAUCUCUACGGAAUAACGCAUGGAAACGUGUGCUAAUACCGUAUACGUCCUUCGGGAGAAAGAUUUAUCGGAGAUGGAUGGGCCCGCGUUGGAUUAGCUAGUUGGUGGGGUAAAGGCCUACCAAGGCGACGAUCCAUAGCUGGUCUGAGAGGAUGAUCAGCCACACUGGGACUGAGACACGGCCCAGACUCCUACGGGAGGGAGGAGUGGGGAAUAUUGGACAAUGGGCGCAAGCCUGAUCCAGCCAUGCCGCGUGAGUGAUGAAGGCCCUAGGGUUGUAAAGCUCUUUCACCGGUGAAGAUAAUGACGGUAACCGGAGAAGAAGCCCCGGCUAACUUCGUGCCAGCCGCCGCCGUAACAC